rnacentral:rRNA from 1 species
UACGUAGGGUGCAAGCGUUGUCCGGAAUUAUUGGGCGUAAAGAGCUCGUAGGCGGUUUGUCGCGUCUGCUGUGAAAACUCGGGGCUUAACCCCGGGCCUGCAGUGGGUACGGGCAGACUAGAGUGCGGUAGGGGAGACUGGAAUUCCUGGUGUAGCGGUGGAAUGCGCAGAUAUCAGGAGGAACACCGAUGGCGAAGGCAGGUCUCUGGGACGGUACUGACGCUGAGGAGCGAAAGCGUGGGGAGCGAACAGG